rnacentral:sRNA from 1 species
UCUGUCACCCACUGAUCGCCUGGGUUGGUUAGCUGAUCUGGCUGGCUAGAUGGG